GCGCGGGGCGGGUCCAGCCGGCUGGGGUGUGCUGGCCUGUAGGCCAGGUCCGAGAGAGGCAGGGAGGGGACAGCCCCUGAGGGGCUGACGCGCCCUCCAGAAGCCAGGCGACGCGGCGCGGGCAAGCCCACCACCCGGAUUUUUCCAACCCGGCUUUGCGCACCCACAGCAGCGGCCCCAUGGAGGCAGCGGCGCCAUUUUAAUAGUCCUCAUUUCCCCCUUGGCAAGUCUCUUUCUGUCGUGUGUGUUGGGGUGUCUCUUACCCCUAUCCCGCCUAGACUUCAGCCCCCCUCCAUCAGCCUGGAUAGAGUGACCAAUCAGCUCUGGCCCAGGGUGGGAUGCGCGUCACCAUGGCGACAGCCAGGGCGCCCUGGCAGUGCCGCCCAUCACAGAGGGCGAGUCUUCACUCCUCCUGGACAGGGAGGUGAUGACUGGCGGGGGCUGGAGGAAGGCAGAGGCACCUCGUCCCCUAUCCGACCCCCUUCUCCCUAGGGUCAGUUCAUCUUGGGUCAGACAGAGGGAAAACGGACGAUGUUGGCAGGGCCUUGGUGGAGACCGGAGCUGUCUUGGGAGUGGCUCUUUCAGGAGUUUUCCCAACCCCCAGGGGGUGCUCCCCUCUGCCUUUCUCAUCUGGGUCCAUAGGACUGCUCUGGCCAACCUCUCACGCUCUUCUCUCUCAUUAAGAGAGUGGUGUUCAGGGGCUCUCAGAGGUUCCUCCAAAUUGCCUUACUCUUAAGUGCUGUGAUUGGGGGCAAGUCACUUCCCCUCUCUGAGUCUGGGUUUUCUCAUCCAUCAGAUGGACUGCUGUGCAGGCUCAAGGUAGACACUGAGGGCACAGUAGGUGUUCUAUCGAUGUUAGUGCCCCUUCUCCCCUUAAAAGGAAGGGCAAGAUGUUUGGGGAUGGAACUCAGAACUUGGGGAUGUCCUUUCUGUCUGAGGCAGCCAAGUUUGGGUGUCUCGUGGCUUCAUAGAGAAAGCUUUUUAUCUCUCCUCCAGACAGCUGGGAAUUGGACAGGAGGGGAGGGUUUUUCAAAAUAGAGUCAGGGUGGGGGAUGUGGCUGGAACAAAACCUUGGUCAGUGGCUCUGAGAAUGGGCUGCUGCAGCUCCCAUAGUGCUGGCUCCUUCCUUCCAGGCCAGUCCGGCUUAAGCACCACUUUAAGUGGUCCGGGCAUUCACUGGCCAAGCCCCUCACCGCAAUUGAGCUGCAGGGGUUUGAAAAGAGGGCCAGGGCCUCAAUGACAGGACCUUGGGCCAGGCUAAUUGGUUUUGGUUCAAGGGGAUACUGGAUUUGUGAAAAGCUCCAAACUGCCUUUCCCACGCCAGAGCCAGGCCACGGCUUUAAGGAGAUGGGUUCGAGGAGCUUGGGGCCAGGCAAGAAAGCUGAGAGCCAGGUGCCUCCAGCUGAUGAUCCUGCUCUAAUGGGCAAGAACUCCUCUGCUUGGAGGGUUGAAGGGUUGUAAGAAGGCAUUUCAUGGGUGCAGGCAGAUCCUGCUAACCCUUUCUCACAUACACAGCUAUGCCACAAAAGGGACCCUCUUCUCUGAACCCUUGGUGUGCCUUAGUUGAGGAGCAGCCUCACUUUCCCCCACUGGAAUCCUCCGUAAGAGAAACCAGCAAUUGCUGAGUUUUAGUUCUUGUCCCCAGGGCUGAACCAAAUCUAGCCAAUAAACUCUGCAAGAAUCCUGGACUCUAUCCUGAGGCAGGCAGUGUCCACUUCUGUCUCUUGAAAUGUCCCUAAACCUCCCUGGGUCUGAGCAGAGUAGAGAUGGGAAACAGGGAACCUCAAGGUACUUUUUUACUUUUAUUUUAAAAUAAAGGGUCAACUAUUUCUUUACAGUCAAAAUUAAGCAUUAAUUGUAUUAUGGCAAGUCUAUCAUUAUUGUAGAUAAUAAUACUGUAAAUGCUUUGGAACAUAGGUCUUGAUGUGUACCAAGAUAUCUAUGUGUUUGGACCAAAUGAUUGCAUAUCUGUAUAUGUAAUAUACCCAUCCUUAUAUAUGUGUGAUCUAUAUACUGAGUCAUAUACUUGUAUAACAAUCAGUUAUGUUAAGGAUGGCAGUCCGGUUGAGGAGGAGCUAUAGAAAGAUCACUCUUAUUUAAAAUGGUGCAUUGAUGGAGACCAGUUUUUCAUGGUUCAUUGUGUGUUGGAGGGAGCAUUCCUAAGUAAUCACCAGCUAAAGAAACUCCCUACCCCUUUCAUUAUCGUCCACAUUUUGCACCAUGCUUGCCCACUUGAGGCACAUGAUAAGUAGGAGAGGGAGACUUUGAAGAGAUAUAGAACUCUGUAUAUCACAUUUCCCACUUUUAUUUCAAUUUUUAAUUGCCCAGAGCCUAAUUUCUUUGGGUCUCUGCUGAUUUGCACAUUCGAGAUUCAUGUGUAAAUAUGCAUGUGGCAUGUGUGCACGCCUGGGCUUCUUUACCACAAAGUGUGUUCUCUCAGUGUUUAAAUACACACAAUCCACACAGACACACCAUUAUGGGCUUGCGUAUUUGCCUCUUCUCUCGAAUUGGGUUCAUUUUCCCUUCGAUAAUCCUCAAACCCAUUAAGCUCCCCCCCCCGCCCCCACAAAAAAUUGCCAACCCUACCACAGACCACUGGUCUCACCCCACUUCUCCAGCAGGCAGCUCUCCAGGCGGGAGCUGGAGUGAAGGUUCCUAUUAGGCAGACUUCAUUAAUGUUACCAAAUAUACCCCAGCACAUUUACUCAUCUACUAUGAAGUAUUAUCAUAAAUAAUUAAAAUUAAACUGCACUUGUCAAAAUAAAUGAACAAAGUACAGUUAGUGAUGUCUUUGCCUUGAUUUGCUUGCCUUGGGUUGGCUUAUUCACUAAUUUAAGAAAAGAAGGAAGAGCGAGGGAGAGGGGAGUUACGAAAGAACAGACUUGCGGGGGAAGGGGAGAAGGGGCGAGAAAGAGACGGGGAAACCCCUCAGUCACCUGCCCUUGGGUUUCCAGUCAUUAGGGCACACUCUGCCCGGCUGGAAUGCAGUCUCUACCGUCAGCUCAUAACACAUAUCGAGGUGUGCAGGUGGAAGGAGGGAUUUCUUUGUUUACCGAGGAAUGGCCUGGGAAUGGGCGAGAGGAUUGCCUUUGGGGAUUAAGGAGUGGGCUUUGUUUUUAUGAAGGGUCUUACUUCUUUUCUGAAGUUUUCUGCAGCUAAUUGAUUCAGUUCAGACAUGCCUCCUCCCUACCCGGCCAGCCGAGGCUGCGUGUUUGUGAGAAGAGCACAGGCCCCACAUCCCCAUCGGCUCCCGCCCCUUUCCCCACCAUGACCCUUGCAAACAGUGUGAACCUUCACGUGAAGGAGAUCACAGGCUAUGGGAGAAACCCCGUCAGGGGCUGAGACUUCUGUAUGUAUGUGUGUGUGAUACACUGCCACAUACUUAGACACCGCCAUGUCUAUUAUUAGAAGUAUAAUUCACAUAUAGGAACAGAUCACAGGUGUACAGUGGUUCUGGGCAUUCUGACAAAUGCAUUUACCCCAUGAUAACACUUCCCUCACCCCAUAAACUUCCUGGCUGCCUCUUCCGAUCAAUCCCUGUCCACCUGCCUCCUGAUAGCUCUGACCAUGGAUUCCUUUGACCCAUCUAGAGUUGUAUCUACAUAGAAUGUCUGCCAGGACUCUUUAGGAGAUUUCAUGUUUGCAGUGGCCUUGGGCAAGGGGUAAACACCCCCCCCCUCGGAUGGACCCAGAAGCCAGAUCUGUAAUUCAAUUUUUUUUUUUUUUUUUUGGUGGGGUGGCUGGUUUGAGGUGGUCUUCAUGCAGGAUAGCCCUGCUCCGACCAGAGGUCUGUUAAGGAUGGGGGACUGGUGAAGCUCACACGCUGCAGCUUGCUUCCCAUCCGAGGCAUCCAGGAGUGGAGGGAGAGCUGUUAUGGAAGGCGCUGGCUUUGUGCUAAUUAGAACUUCCUCGCACACAGGCACUGGAGCCCCUCACUGGUCAGCCUCACCUCCCCCUAUCAGCUGGCAACCUAGUUUUUGUUCCCCUCAUGAAUUAGGGGGUGCUGUGAGUGGAGCUGCUCUCUUGUCUCUGGCCAAAUGCAGGUUCUUUGUGUGUUGUAGGAAUGUGUGGGGUGGCCUUUUCUGAGCCUCCUCUGUCUUGUUAGGGUGGAGACGGACUGCACGUUGGAAAAGGGGUUGGCCGGUCCCCUGGGCUAGGCUGGUCCCACACUCCUGCAACUCGGGUUUGUUUUGAAAAGGACCUUUUGCUUCUGCCCUCUGGAGAGUGUGGCUUCAGACCCUUGGCCCCUCCGUUACCGUUACCCCCAUUCUGAGUGUCUCCCAAGUCUGUACCCACCCAUCUUAACCUUCAGCUGCCAUCUUUGCAGUGUCAGGAAGCCUGGGGGUGGGGGCUGUCUCCCUGGCCCUCUUCUGAAAAAGCCCAAACUUUUUUUUUUUUUUUCGUUUUGCCUUUUCCUUCUUUCACCUCCAGCCCAAUGGACAUAAUUUUCAAAAUGGAGAUUGUCUCUUAUAGAGGUUUCAUUAAAAAAAAAAAGGAAGGAAAGAAACAUUAACGUCACAGUAUCGUCAUUUAAAGAAAAAGCAUCUCUCAGCUUGGAGGCUGGGGGAGUUACAGCUUCCUGUCUGAUUAUCAGUUGGGAUGAAAUUUCUUGUGGGGAACCAGAGACAGGGGCAUUUCCUUACCAUGCUCCUCUUUUUAGCUCCUGAAUCCCCUCAGGUCUCCACUGGGGUUGUGUGUAAAAAUAUCUGCUCUCCUUGCCCCUUCGUCUCAUUUUCUCCUGCUUGAAUUAUCCUGAUCAGAAUACAGGUCACCCACUUCUUUGACUGUGUACACUGGGAUUUUAAAAAUCAGGAGUGGACUAUUGGCCAGCAUAAGGCUUUGCCAGGUUCCCUCAAGGUGGUGGACCCAGGCUAAAGAGGGUAGAAACAGGAAAUACCUCUGGAGCGCCCAAAAGGGCUUGAGGAAUUCCCACAUCAUGGCUCUUGGGGACGGCAGGAAGAUUGGCUCUUCCUGGCUUUCCUUGGUGGCCUUUUCUGCCCCUAGGGGUGACAAUCCUGAACCGAGACACUAGCGUGGACUUCAGAACAGUCCUGGACUGUGGUAAUAAUCCAGCAAUCCAAAUUCCAGAAGGGUGGCAGCUAUGGGGUGGGAAGGAUGCCCACACCUGGGAAGCAGGGUUUUAGGGCAUGUAUCCUUGACAAGUCACCUCCUCUCUCUGGGCUUCUGUAUCACCAUCUGUGAAAUGGGGAUAGUAGGACCUGCACCUCCAGGGGUCAUGUGAGGAAGAAAUACACAAAGUGCCUGGCAUGCAGUAGGUGCUGAGUAAAUGACAGCUCUUUCUGCAGGGUUGGACAGAGGGUACACAUAAAUGUCUGGAUCUGAAAUUUAAACCUCCACCUGCUGCAGACUCAGUGAAAGCACUAACAGAAGUCCAGAAUCCCUUGGAAGAAAUGACCAGUGCCUGCCAUGCAUAAUGGGCCCCUGAAUUGGGAGGCAAGACACAGAACUCCAAGGAGCAACCCCUUUUGGAAGGCUGGAAUGAGUAUAAAGUGUAAAGUUCCAAGCCUCUCUCACUGGGGAGGAGGACAUAUAAAUGUCUAUAGGUUUGAAGGGAGCAGGAUAGGGGUUGACUUCCAUGGCCAGAGGUUGAUUGUCACCAGGAGGUCCCUGUCAGUUCGGGGGUUCAGGAUUUCUAACAGCUGGUGCCUGGAGUCCCAGCUCCAGCAGGUUCUGAGUUUCAGCACUCAUGAACAUUGCUGUCUGGGGGGACACCGAGGUCAUUCUGGGAACUCGAUGGCAGGCUCAGAAUGACACGCUGGGCCCUAGGUGCACCCAGGUGCCCCACCUCAGGGCUGUCCAUAUCCGGAGCCUCAGCUCCAAGUGAGCAGGGCUUUGGUCCGGAGGGCUGACUGCCAGUUGCGCCCUAUCAGGUGGCUGGAUGCCUGGCCCACUGGCCCAUAACGAGCUCCGGGCUGGGCCCGCAAUUCCCUCUUGUCACCCCACCAUGCUUCUAUCUUGCUUCCCGGGAGGGCAAGGCAGAGGCGUGCAGAGCGCCCCGCGACCUCCCUCCUUGACGUGGAGGAUGCACGUGUCCCCACUGCCACCUUCCAGUCGACCGGGGCGCUCUCUGGGGGGGCCUGGGGGCACCUGAUGUCUCCUCUCUGUUUUACAGCUACUUCCCUGCAAGAGCUUCGGCUCCUCAGCGCCCUUCUCGCGGGCACGAACUAACCGUGGGCACAGCUCUCUCGCAGGAGGGCGCGCCGGAGGCAAGAUUGUCCUGUGAAGUGGAAUGGGACAGCCUCUGUUCAGCUCCUCUGAAAAUGGAGACAGAGAGGGGACCUGUGCAUCUUGCCAAGGUCAAGGGAUUGGAAUAGAGAGCCAUGCCCCUCUAGGACACUCGAGAUCGCCCGAAGGGGAGGAGCCCAGCAGAGAGGGAGAACGCCGUAGUCACUGUCCUGAGGCCAGGAUGAAGGAGGAGGACCAGGCAGAGGGCAUGGUGCCGGCUCCGCUCCCAUCGCUGCCCCUCCGAGACGUGGCCGGGGACCUGGGGAAACAGGCCCCAACCCCUCCUGUAGGGGCCUUUGCCUGUGAUCCUGCUGGUCGCCGCUUCUGCCUUUGUCAUAGCAUGUACCUGUCCUGGCUCAAGGCGCUCUGACCAGUCCUCCAGCAAAUAGAAGCUCUGCGCCAUCACACGUUCCACCCUGGAGGACGAAGGGCUGCACACUAGGAGGUGGCCCAGGCGCGGGGCUCCAGGCUUCUGGGGGUUAAUGACUCCCUCUCCCCAGCUGUCCUCCCCUUGGUGCUCCUCUUCCUCCCUCCUCUUGUUCACAGCAGGCAGGGCCUGGACCUAGGAGCCAGGCCGCUGUGCUGUUGCCAGGGGAGCCGGGAGCAGGAUCUGAGCUAUGCAGGGAAAAGGCCCAGCCUGUCAAAGUGUCUGAGAUGAACCGCCGCCGUCCCCAUGCAGCUGGGCUCAGACGUGUCUCGGCUCUUGUUCUGUGCCUGAGAAUGGCGACACCCAGUGAGGUUCAAGGGCAAACUCACUAUUCAUUAGUCAGAGGUUCUUGACGUCCCUGUCUCUCCCAGGGAUGGGUUCCUCCCCCCCCCCCCGCCCUUUUCUCUCCCUCCUGUGACACAUUCCUGGGUGCCUUUGGUGAGGACUACACACCCUCCUCCUCCUGCCCAACUCGUCUCCAGAGGCCCCUGAAUAAACUCCCCCCAAGGAGACCAGGCAGGGCAGAGACAAUGGCCACAGGAAAGCAUUCAGGCGGGACUCCAGCCAUGCUGGCCUGCCCUCCAUUCCCAGCGCCUCUGUGGGCCCCACCUCCCUCUGACUAAGGUACCCCUGAGCAACCAGCCCACACAAGACGAAGCCACUGGACACUGAUCUCUGGACAACAGGCCAGUCCAGUGCCAUUCGCAGUGGACCCCUUGGAUGCCCCCAUGGCUCAUAUGUCACAUAGCUGUCUACCUUGGUGCCUUUCCCUACCAUCAUGUGUCUAUUGUGUGACACUCUCUCUGUGAGUUGGAGCAUGUACAUUGUAUAAUAUUUUCUGAAAUGUGGCAGUAUCAAAAUAUAAAGGGCACAUAUACUUGGUUGCAAACAAAUUGCACUACUAGGAAUUUACUAUAUGGUUAAGAUGUAAGAGUUCCCAAAGAAAUAUGUACAAGAAUGUUCAUCAGAGUGUUUCUUUUUAAGAAUGUAAAGAAGUGGGACUGAGCCUAUGGUCAAUUCAUACUGUGAAAUACUAUGCAGCUACAAAAAUUGAUGUGGUAGGUCUCUAUGUAUUAGCUGCUGUGGGAGGCUGGCCAGUAUCUAUUCUUGGGUGGCUAGAAUAAAUCACACAACAGGUAA